CUGCCUUUUACGUUUAAAAACCUUCUGCUCUUCCACAAUAAUCAGACCCGCCUAUUUUCAGGUUCACCUCCUCUUCUACAAUAAUCAAAUGCAAAUCACAAAACCCAAAUUCCUUCCACUCCUACUCAGCUAACGGUGCUUUUGGUUAUUUCUGUAUCGGUUCUCAUCUAUUCCAACCGUUCCUAAGACAUCCUGUAACAACAUAUCAUACACAAAUUUGACAGAAAUAUAUAGAACAUUAAGGAUUCUUGCAUUUGCAUUCCAAGGUUCAUCGCUGGGCCAACGAAGUUAUUGUUUAAGGAUCAACCAGCUAAAUGUUAGCAACAAAGUUAACCUGUCUUGGAAUUUUGUAAGCGGCCCAUGUUUCUUUUCUCUCUAUUUUUUCUGAAUAAAACUUUUCAUUAACACAUAAAGAAAUUAAUACAGAAUAGCAAAUUAAAUCCAUCUAGCUCUUCUAGCAACACAAUAAUAAAUAAAUAUAAAAAUCCAUCUUACUCCAUGUGUUAGAGAAAAAGAGCCCUUUUUUGAAUGUCUACAAUGAUAGAGGCAUUUUUCCAGUAUGCUAGCUUGAGUAGGAUUGAACUUGAGGAUGGCAGAUAUAAUUGCUAAAGUGUCCCUUUCAAAAUGACAUUAACCCAAGAGACCAGGCUAGGUGAACUGCGAGAAUGGCGGCUUUAGCUUCACCAGCAAUAGGUUUGGCACAAAGUUUUCACAUUAUUGGACCCAACCCAAAACUCACCAGCAAUAAGUAUGCAUAUGAUAUGUCCUAAUAAUUUUACUUCUAUUAUGUAAUAUGUUGAAGAAGGAUUCUGCAGAUGCAGUUAAUGCAGAAACUGAUGUUGCUGUUGAAGAGCUAUAAGCAGGGUGCUGUGCUACAUGUAGUUCAAUGUUAGGUAGAUAUGCUGCAAUUAGUUUAGUCUAUUAAGUGGGCAUGUGAUGUGCACGUGACUUUGAAGUUAGUUAGUUAUCUUUCAGUUAGUUGGUUAAGUACUCUGUUGAUGUAUAUAAUCAGAUAAUAGU